rnacentral:misc_RNA from 1 species
AACGCACAUUGCGCCCUCUGGUAUUCCGGGGGGCAUGCCUGUUCGAGCGUCAUUACAACCCUCAAGCUAAGCUUGGUAUUGGGUGCUACCAUCUUGGUACGCCUUAAAAUCAGUGGCGGUGCCAUCUGGCUUCUAGCGUAGUAAUACUUUUCGCUACGGAGUUCUGGUGUCUGCUUGCCAUCAACCUCUAUUUUACUGGUUGACCUCGGAUCAGGUAGGGAUACCCGCUGAACUUAA